UACGUAGGGCGCAAGCGUUGUCCGGAAUUAUUGGGCGUAAAGAGCUCGUAGGCGGCCUGUUACGUCUGCUGUGAAAUCCCGGGGCUUAACCCCGGGCGUGCAGUGGAUACGGGCAGGCUGGAGGCAGGCAGGGGAGAACGGAAUUCCUGGUGUAGCGGUGAAAUGCGCAGAUAUCAGGAGGAACACCGGUGGCGAAGGCGGUUCUCUGGGCAUGUCCUGACGCUGAGGAGCGAAAGUGUGGGGAGCGAACAGG
rnacentral:rRNA from 1 species